rnacentral:misc_RNA from 1 species
AACGCAUCUUGCGCUCCUUGGUAUUCCGAGGAGCAUGCCUGUUUGAGUGUCAUGAAUAUCUCAACCCUCCGGGUCUUAUGGAUCCGCGACGGGCUUGGACUUGGAGGUUGCCGGCUUUGUAGUCUGCUCCUCUCAAAUGCAUUAGCUGGAAACUCCAUCGUGCUAUCCGGUGUGAUAAUAUCUACGCCGCAUGAUCACAUUCGAGUGUUACCCCGUCAACGGUGUGUUUCCUCGAAGGGAGCUCCGCUCACAAUCGUCUAUACGUCGCGACACCUCCACCGGGAGGCCGACGAUGACAACUUCUGACAUCUGGCCUCAAAUCAGGUAGGACUACCCGCUGAACUUAA